UUCUGUUACUGAUCUUGUAAAACCACAACAGUCCCUGGGUUCCGCAUGUCGACAACGCGCAAGGACCCGCGCAGAGUUUGCAAAGUGUCCGCUCCGUACCCGGGCUCGGGGGAGGGAGGCGAGAAGAGUUGGUGCUGAGCAGCUGCGUAGUUGAUAGUUUAAGCCGCUGUGGUUUGUUGCUGUUUCCGCGGCGUCCUCUUGGCCGCUGCUAGCCGGUCGGUCAGGCAAGCCAUAGCAUUUCGGUCCCCGGUCUCCCACACGCCAUAAAUCCCAGCCCCACCGGGAAGCAGAGGCGGAGGAACAUAGGCGGGUGACGGCAGGCUGCAGGACCGCUGCGAAGGCGGGAGGCCGGCCAGGGAGUGACCAGCACGUGGAAGCAAGCGAGCGGCCCCCCGUACCUCAGCGCGGCUUCCCUUUUGGGAGGGAACCGACGCGGAGCACCGCUAAACACCGUUGCCGGCAUUGAAGAUGAGAAUCUCGGCUGCUGAAAAGGACGCCGCCUUCCUCCUCUUUUUUUUUUUUUUUUCUCCCACCCAGUUGCAAAGAAGGAAUAGCGAGGGACGGUCGAGAGCCGGGACGCUCCGAGAGAUGAGGAGACGGGAAAGAGGAUGGAGGAGCUCGAAGACAGAAAGUAGAGCCCGGCUGGAACUGCCCCAACCUCUCUCAGCUUCUCCUCCCCCCUCCUUGGGGAAAAGAGGGCAGACGAGGCUGUUCCGAAGAGCGAGGGGCAGGAGUCCGCUCCUGCCAAGAGCCGGAGCUGUUUGCAAACAUCGCCAGCCGGGCGCUCCAAGCGGCAGCUUUCUAGCCAUAUGCCAGCGGUCACACUUCCUCCUCCAGCUGGCGACUGCGAGCGCCGAAGAGGCUGCCUGCCUCUUCUCGGGCACCAGAAGAGCGAGCGGCGUCCUCCCUCCAGGGGGCCUCCGCGCGAGUGGGGGCGUGGAGCCUAUUGGAAGUGAUCCGCGGCGCCUGACCAAAGCUGAUGGAAAGAAGGCGCCCAGAGAAAUAAGGAAACCUCCUCCAAGGUAAACUCGUAGUAGAGCUGCUCUGAAACAAAUGGGCUGCAAAAAUGCAUUCAGUGUAUCUGUGGUUAAUGACUCUUCAAAUUAGCUUUCCUAGGCCAAGAAAACUGCAGGACUUGUUGGAGAAUCGGACAGCGAUUGAACAGAGGGAAAAAAAUACUAAUAGGCCAGAAAGGUAUAUCAUCAUCAUCAUCAUUUAAAAUGUACUGUAAACAAAAUUUACAGAACUUGAUCGUCUAAUUUUAACAUUGUUGUAAUUAUUGUUUUCAAAAAGCAGGAAUAAAUCUUAGAAGUUUAAACAAGUGAAUCUUACUAAAAACAAAUAUUAUUGAGAUCUUGACAGAGCUAUGUAUCCAGCUUAACAGCUAAACAAAUAGGUCUAAAAUAUUAAAAUGAUUAACAGCUAAACAAAUAGGUCUAAAAUAUUAAAAUGAUUAACAGCUAAACAAAUAGGUCUAAAAUAUUAAAAUGAUUAACAGCUAAACAAAUAGGUCUAAAAUAUUAAAAUGAUUCCAAUAUUAAAAUGAACCCAAGAGUAUUUUAUUCUUCAUCAGACUACAUGAAAACGGGAGGGGGAAAUAGAGAAGGAAUAUCUACAGUAGCAAAUAUUAAAACUGUCCUAUCUGCAUUUAUUUAUACUCUUAAGAAUGGAAUAUGGGAAACUUUAUAGAUAGAAUCUCUCGUCUUCCAGUUGCACAUAGGACUUUGAAAUGCAAACAGUGAUAAAUGACCCAUGCUAGUCAAAGUACCUAAUUUAAAUGUUUACCUUCUCCCACAUUUCUAUUUUAAGGCUAUGAAUGAAUACAGACACAGUGGAUACAAUAUUGUUCAGCUUUCCUCAACUAUCUGCUUCCUUUACUGUCCAGCCUGAUUAGGAGUUCUAGAGAACACUGUAAAGAUUAUUUCAAGAUAUUUUCUUUUCCUUAAUAUAGAUUUCCUUACUUACUAUAUUUGUAUAUGGGUGGCUACUUUGUGUAGCUCAGGUGUGCCAUGCAGAUUUGGCCAAUUUCAUAUUUCUGCCCAAAGACCCUUUUUGUCCUUGAAAUCCAUAACAAACCAACAUACAUGCUGCCUGUUGCAUGUAUCCCUUAAAAAAGUAAUUAUACAGGAGAUAUAUGCUUCUUUCUUAAUUAAAUCAGCUUCAGAAGAAAUCCAGAAGAUAUUCUCACUUUAUUGGAUUCUUAGUAAGAAAUGAGUAUCUUAUAGGUGAUGCAUAAAUUUUAAAUCACUAAAAAUAUAUAGUGAUUGAACCAACUUUUAAAAAAAAGCUUUUGCAGGUAUUCCUCAUUUACCACUGUCUUGUUUAUAGAUUGUUUGCAUUUAUGACAGUGAUGAAUAAGUAACUCACAUUUAUGAGUUUCACAGGUCUGUAAAGCAAAAUAAAGCUAAAGAUUAUGAGCACAAUUGUGGUUUCACUUAGCAGCUGCUUCACUUAAUGACCAAAUAGGUGGUCCCAACUGUCACUAAAUGAGGAUUAUUUGUAUUACCAUGCUUCCUCACCCUCUUUUUUACUUCUCUUUCUUUAAAUCCAGAGAGGCAGAUAUGUAGAAAUAAAUGCAGCUAUAUGUAUUUUCUAAUGUGUAUUGUGCUUUUAUUAUUGUAUAAACUUUUGGAACUAAAAGUUCCACUCAUUCUUAUAAUCAUGUAUACCUAUCCAAAUCAGAGUUGAGUUUUAGAAGAAUCAAAGGACCUUUUCUGUCAUGCACCUUGUUCUAUGAUGGCUUUGAAGAAGUAAAGUUUUCAUAUAUAUUUUAUACUUCCCAACAAGGUUUGAUCAGUCUGUCAAAAUUUAGCUAGUUACAUUUUGGCCUUUUUCUUGCACCACCUGAUAUUUUUCCAAUUGAGUGUCAUUGCUUUACCCAGUUCAAAUGGAAUAAUCUGUUUCUUUGAUAACUACAGCUCAUAUCUUCAAAGUCUACAUUCUGGUACUUUUUUCAAGACGUAUAAUUUGAAAGCUUCCUGAGAAACCUUUCUUCUUCCAUGUCCUCCUCUAGAAGGAUCUCAUGUAUGCUUAUCUUUCAUAUACAUCUGUUUAUAUAAAUAUUCUAAUACUAUAGUAUUUCUCUACAUCAUGGUAUUACACCAUCAUGGGCAGUAUCUACUAGUAACAGUCUACUAGCAUUAACAUACUGAUUCAUGUUUAAUUAAUCAUGUUAUAUAUCUUAAUGGGGGCGCAAUGGCUCAGCAGUUAAAGAUGCUGAGCUUGUCAGCUGGAAAGCUGACAGUCCAGGUUUGAGACCCAAGCAUUGUGCGAUGGGUGAGCUCCCGUCUUGUUCAGCCUCCUGCCCACCAGCAGAUUGAAAGCAUGCACAUGCAAGUAGAUAAAUAGGUAUCACUUUGGUGGGAAGGUAACAGCAUUCCAUGUACCUUGGUGUGUAGUCAGGCUGGCCACCAGACAAUGCUGCUCCCCUCAGCUAAGAAAUGGAAAUGACCACUGCCCCAUAGAGUCAGACAUGACUGGACAGGGGAAACUUUUACCUUUUUCUUUAUAUAUGUUAAAUUCUAACAGAGAGAUCUCUAGGAGUUUCCUUUUGUAGAUUUUGUAGUGUGAUGUUUGAUUAAUUCUGGUUCAUAAAUAUGUAUAGUGUAAUUUUACAUUAGUGUAAUAAAAUGAUUUGGAGGUCUUUAUGCCUGUCUGAAAGAUAAUUUAUAAUUCUAGGAAAUAGAUAUUGAUGAAACAAUAUCUUGUUGCAAAACUGUUACUUUUUGGCAAGUCUCCUAUGCUUUUUACAACCUUGUAAGAAACUGGUUGCAGAUUCAAAUACAUCAUCUCUGUUGUUCAGUAUUAAGAAAAUUCAUUACCCGAUACAUGUUAAGAGCUUUCUUUUACAACUGCCUCCCUUUUUUUCUUCCUGAAAAUAUAAAUAAUUGCAUUUAUAAUUGUGUAUACUGCAUAUGUGCACGCACACACCCAUAUAAUAAUAUAUAUUUUAUUAUCCAAGUGCAGACAUUUUCUUUUUGCUACCACAAAACUCCUUUCUUAAAAAUUAUACUUUCUGCAAAGCAGACGGGGAAAAGAUAUUUUGAAUAUUGGCUUGAAGAUUGGCUAAGAAUGCUCAUUACUCUGCUGGAUGCCGCUGCACCCUGUCUGAAGUGCUUAGAGAGAGAAAUCAAAAUUCUUCCCAGGAAGUUUAAAUAAUCUCACUUUGUUGCAUCAGAUGAAUUAAAAAAGCUUGCCAACCAGGAAGCGGAGAAAGCAUAUUUAUGGCAUCAAUACCAUGUUCAGCUUUUGUACAUCCAAAGCCAAUUGCUAGUUCUUUUUGAAUAAGAGUGACAGUGAACUGACUUUGCCUAGUUGUACCAACAUGGAAUUUUUAGUUGAAGCUUGCCUUAAAAAAAAAAAAAUUAAAAUGUUGUAUCCGAUUACUUUUAGAAAGAUACAUCUUACUAGACCUUCUGGUUCUCUGAAAAUGCAAAGAUUAAUUCUUGAAUAAAAUAGUUGCUUACAAAUAUUCAUCAUGGUAGUUUCCCUUUAUAUUAUGAGAAUAGCGUCAAAGAAAGCAUUAAAGAUAUUCCUGCCUAACAACCCCCCCUCCGCGCUCUCUCACACACAAAGUGAAAAUCUGUUGCCCAUUGUGUUUAUUGUAAGACAUGAUCUGAGAGAACUAAGAAUUCUCCUGCACAACUUUUUGAUUCUUUGAAGGAAUACUAUAUACUUUGAAACCAUAAAUGUUUUCAGCUCGACCACUCCAAACAUCCAUCUAGCUUGCAAUCUCUAAACCCCUCUUAGGUAGAGCAAAUCAUGAAAGCAACUGAAGGCUAAAAGUAUUUUUUAUUGAGAUUAGUUAUACUGUAAUAACAGAAUCUUGAAAAUCUGACUUGUGCUGUUAUCUCCUCCAUUUUGGUGAAUUAGGAAGGUAUCUGCCUGACUUGUUUUAUGAACAUUAUCUGGUCAUUCUGAACUUUUUUUAAAAAAAAUGCUUCAUUCCCCCAUUCUCCUGGCCUAGGUUUUGCAUCUCUCCAUCAAGAUCAUCUUCCUUAAUUUCUAUGCUAUUCUGGAUGUUGCUAGACUUUCAUAAUUAAAGAUUGGAAGUUUUUCUCAUUAUUUGUGAAAACAUACACCUUGCCCCCAAACCAAAAUGCCACAUUUUAAUUUUAUGGAAUAUUUUUCUUAACAAGCAGAUAGUUUUCAUCUGGACAUUAUCAACAAUAAUAAUGACAACUGCUGAUUGACCCCAAUCUUUUAGUGAUACAGUUGUGCCUUUUGUUUUUGUUUUUCUAAAAAAAACUUCAGGAGAGUGGCUUGUAUGAUUUAAUUGAUAUUGUGUGAAGAGUUACUUUGAAACCAUUAUCAACUAUUUCCUUAGAAUUGAUGCCUAAUAAUUCCAUUAGAAAAUCUGUAGUUCUAAUAUGAUGGUAUGAGGAAAAAGUCAUUGCUGCCAUAUUUUUUUAAAUGUCAUAUUUAAUGUUUAUCUUCCAUGAUACAAACAAUAUGUUUUUUACGGGAAAUACAAUUUCAUCUGCUUGAUUAUACCAAUUGCUCUUUUUUAUACUUUUAAUAUAGUUUAGUAUAAUAAAUUAAUUGAAAGUUGUAGAAGAUUAUCUGUAAACUGUAUGGAGAAUUGUCAAUCCCAAGUUAUAGAUGGCUGCACUAUAGUCUUACAAUAUAUUCAGUGUUACAUUUUAUUCCAUUGGUGCAUCAAAGUUCUACUUUGAACGUUCCCAGUGGCAGAAAUGAGACAGAUUAUUUUCUUUCUCAGUUUUUGCUCUUAAAGCUUCCAGCAAGAGUUCCCAGAAGAGUUGAACAGGUUUCAGCAGGGGAAUGGAGGGAGAGAUGAGGAAAAAAUGAACACAAAUUGAUUGCCAAUGAAAAUGCUGUUAGGUUAGAAGGUGGAUACAAUCCAUAAUGUCAUGCUUAUUGUUUUAUUUUUAGCACUUCUCUAAACUUAGCUUCAUACAACACUAGGAGAUAUGAUUUCUUAAUAUAGCCCAGUAUUAUGUGAAUCCAGGCAUUCCAAUUUGUAAAUCAUGGUUUUUAGCUUAGCAUAGAAUGUGCAAUCUGUAUCACUCAAGUGGUUAUACCUAGUUAAACAAGCAGCAGUCAAGCACAACAUACAGCACAGUCUAAUAUUUGUAAUAUUUAGUUUAAUUUUUUUACAAAUAUCAAUUUAUUGCAGAGUUUAAAGAAAAAAUAAGUAGAAGGCAGAGUCCAUAUAUCAGUCAAUUAAACUGCUCCAAACGAAAGAGCCACUUAUUUAUUUAUUUAUUUAUGAGACUUAUAUACCGCUUUAAGUGCAAGCACUCUCUAAGCGGUGUACACCAGUAAGCAAUGUAUAUAUAUAUUUACAUUGCCCCCAACGAUCUGGGUCCUCAUUUUACCUACCCCAGAAGGAUGGAAGGCUGAGUCAACCUUGAGCCGGUGAGAUUUGAACCGCUGACCUGCUGAACACAGUCAGCUAAAGUGGCCUGCAGUAGUGCACUCUAACUGUUGUGCCACCUCGGCCCAAGAGCUGAUGUGGGAAGUACUUUUCCAGAAGAAAAUUACAGGUGGACUUCGCUCACUGACAAUGAGAACAAGAGAGUAAGAAGAUACAGCGUUCGAACUCAAACUGCCCUAGAGCCAAAUAAAUAUGCUGAAAAAAAGACAAUGCCAGUUUAUUGAAUAACAGAGGUGAUGCA